ensembl:lncRNA
AAAAUAAAUAACCGGGACUGCGCAUGCGCAGUAGGCGGAGUUUUCGGUGGCAGCUGCUGCUUGUUGAGUGAACUACAGAUGAUGAUGUGGAGGAAAUAACGGACCUGUGUCUCCAUCAGCUUUGGAUGGGGCUGACGAGAGAAAGCGUCUCCGCCAUGAUGAUGAUGAUGUAGUUGAGUGUCGUUUAUUAUAAACGAUUGUUUACACAGGCUCGGGGGUUUCCGGCGUUAGCGCUGCGCAGCUGAUCAACACUUGCUGCUCCAGGGGGAACAAAAAGCCACUAUGAGCUAAUCCGAUGCUGUGAUUGAAACCUGCGCAGAUCGGACUACGGCAGAUGAGGUACGUGAAGCCGCUCCGAACAACAGCUUCCAUUUUAUUGCGUUAUUUCCGUAACUCAGACUAGAUUUAUCUAAAUCACCUCGGCUAAUGGUAAAUAGUGUCCCCUUGUCUCCCAUUUUCCCCUUUUUAAAUAUGAAGUCACCCUUUUUUCCCAUAUUGCAGCACGACUGUGUGCGUGCGCGUCACCGCGGGCAGGAAGCUCCCUGCUUGUGCGCGCGCUCUGCGAUGGCUGCACCUAAAGCAGUUAGUGAGGGGGGGGGGGGGGGUCACUGAACCACGACAGUCAGUCCCCUGAUUGAAAAUGCCCGGAUGCUUAAUCGCGUGUUUCAGACUUGAGGACAUGCGAUGACUUGUGGACAUGCGAUGACUUGUGGACAUGCGAUGACUUGAGGACAUGUGCAGACUUGAGGACAUGUGCAGACUUGAGGACAUGUGCAGACUUGAGGACAUGUGAUGGCCUGACUGCUCAUUCGAUUGAGGUCAAAGUACAAUACAUGUUUUGAGUCCCGCCCACGGGUCCAUUCAGCUUUGUGUCUUUGGCCCACUGGGAAGCACGGAGCUUUGUUGUUGACAUGAUGGUGCUUGUAUAGGCUACAAUGACCCUUUAUAUACUUUAGUUAGUCAUGGUACGUUAUUUACCAACCAAGUCAUACUAAAAUAUAUAAAUAAAUUGUAAAAAUAUCUAUCAAUAUAUAAAUCUGUUUUGACACAGCUGAUAGUCAGCUAAUUAUUGAUCACGUUGAAAUGCGUUCCUUUAUAAUAUCUGACUAGAUUGCAUUAAUAGUACAUUAUGAAGACUGACAUUGCCCAGCGCUUAAUUAUGCCAAUGAAAACGAUGUACAAAUAUAUAUAUAUAUAUA